UAACUCCCCCCCCCAAUAAAUCUUAUGUACAGAGGGUUAACAUCACUGCCUAGAGGAUCAUUGGUUGCCCUCUCUUUGGAAGAGCUUUAUAGCUCCCGCUGCCUUACAGGAUAAUAAAAAUAAGGAAAAAGGCUGAAAAACGGCUUCUAUCCCGGGGCAGUGAGUGCAGGCCUCUGAUCAAAAGGUGCAUAGCACUUGGAAGAACUACAAUGUCUGGCAUGAAUAACAUCCAGAAGAGUAAAGACAUCAGUCUCACAAACAAACAAAUGCAGAUUAGUUAAUACAAUCAUUUUUACAGUUGCUACUUAUUGCUGCAAAAUGUGGACUCUGAAAAAGGCAUAUAGGAGAAGGGUGGACACCUUUAAACUGGUGCUGGAGGUGACUAUUGAACAUCCCAUGGGCUGCAAAAAUAACAAAUCCUAGAACAAACAUCACCCAAAAAAUCACUUGAAGCCAAGAUCACUGAACAUAGGCUGUCAGGAUUUGGUCAUGACAUGCGAACUGACUCACUCGAAAAGUCAAUUGUGCUGGAAUUGAUCAGUGGAAAAAGGAGAAAGGGCCGCCCUAGUACCUGCUGGUUGGAUACUAUAAGAAUGACACUAGAAUGACCAUGGUGGAUCUGAAGGAAAUGGUGCAAGGCAGAGGAACAUGGAGAAUGCUGAUCCAUAGAGUGACCAAGGUUCAGACACGAUUGAAUGGCUUACAACAACAAGAAUACUACAUUGGGACCUAAUGAGCUCAUCCAAUAUCUUGAAUGAACCUCUCUCUGCACUGCGUCUGAGAACCAUAUUUCAUCUUGGUUUCAGAGUGUUCAUAAUAUAGGAGCCACUGAAUCCCUGGCUUUACAGUUCAUACUGAUUCUUGGAAACAAGUGAAGGAGAAUGUGACUACAGGAUAUAGUCCCUGACAAUCGUAACUUUUAUUUAUGUUUUUUUUAAAGCAAUGUCAUAACUUUUAAGGAUGCAAAAACAGAGCUGAAUAUAACUGCAGGACAAAUGAAAUCCCAGUAAUCCACCGAGAUGUGCCUCAAUACCCUUUGCCCUUCCCUGUAAUCAGUGAAAGAAAUUGUGCAAAAUAAACUCUGCUAU